GAUGAACGCUGGCGGCGUGCCUAAUACAUGCAAGUCGAGCGAACAGACGAGGAGCUUGCUCCUCUGACGUUAGCGGCGGACGGGUGAGUAACACGUGGAUAACCUACCUAUAAGACUGGGAUAACUUCGGGAAACCGGAGCUAAUACCGGAUAAUAUAUUGAACCGCAUGGUUCAAUAGUGAAAGACGGUUUUGCUGUCACUUAUAGAUGGAUCCGCGCCGCAUUAGCUAGUUGGUAAGUUAACGGCUUACCAAGGCAACGAUGGGUAGCCGACCUGAGAGGGUGAUCGGCCACACUGGAACUGAGACACGGUCCAUACUCCUACGGGAGGCAGCAGUAGGGAAUCUUCCGCAAUGGGCGAAAGCCUGACGGAGCAACGCCGCGUGAGUGAUGAAGGUCUUCGGAUCGUAAAACUCUGUUAUUAGGGAAGAACAAAUGUGUAAGUAACUAUGCACGUCUUGACGGUACCUAAUCAGAAAGCCACGGCUAACUACGUG
rnacentral:rRNA from 1 species